GAUGAACGCUGGCGGCGUGCCUAAUACAUGCAAGUCGAGCGAACGGACGAGAAGCUUGCUUCUCUGAUGUUAGCGGCGGACGGGUGAGUAACACGUGGAUAACCUACCUAUAAGACUGGGAUAACUUCGGGAAACCGGAGCUAAUACCGGAUGAUAUUUUGAACCGCAUGGUUCAAAAGUGAAAGACGGUCUUGCUGUCACUUAUAGAUGGAUCCGCGCUGCAUUAUCUAGUUGGUAAGGUAACGGCUUACCAAGGCAACGAUGCAUAGCCGACCUGAGAGGGUGAUCGGCCACACUGGAACUGAGACACGGUCCAGACUCCUACGGGAGGCAGCAGUAGGGAAUCUUCCGCAAUGGGCGAAAGCCUGACGGAGCAACGCCGCGUGAGUGAUGAAGGUCUUCGGAUCGUAAAACUCUGUUAUUAGGGAAGAACAUAUGUGUAAGUAACUGUGCACAUCUUGACGGUACCUAAUCAGAAAGCCACGGCUAACUACGUG
rnacentral:rRNA from 1 species